UUUUUAUCAAAGCCUGAUAUCGUCAGAUCUCUGAACCUAAGCAGAGCUGAGCCUGGUUAGUACUUGGACUGGAGAUCGCUGGGAAUACCAGGU
rnacentral:rRNA from 1 species